ACAUUGAAACAACAGUUCUCGUAUGAUCACCGAAGUUAAGCAGUGUCGAGCCUGGCUAAUACCUAGAUGGGUCACCGGUUGCGAAUAACAGAUGUUGCAAG